AGUCCGCGGCCCCUGCCUGUCACCCCAAGAGCACCGCAGCCCGGAGCGCCUCGUGCCGGUGUCAGGCACUGAUGCCAGCUGUCAGCACGGGAGGUGACAGCCCGAUAAUGACCGCGCGGAGCGGGAUGGCUCCGACGCGGGGGAGGGGCAAUGGGGUGACUUUCCCCGCAGCCCAUCCUGCUGCCACCCGCUCCUUGGAGCCCUGUCAGCCCCGCGACGCCCUGGGGACCCUCUGCGGCACCAGCACCCCACGGCUCCGUGUGGCACAAGCGCUCGGUGGUCACACACGGAGCGAGGUGUGUGCGGGUACACCUGGAAUUCAGCCUGGAUCAUAAAAUCAUGGAAUCCCAGAGUGGGUUGGGUUGGAAAGGACCUCAAAGCCCAUCUCGUUCCACUCCCUGGCAUGCACAGGACACUUUCCACCAUUCCAGGUGGCUCAGAGCUCCAUCCAAGCCGUGUCUGUGCACACAUCCACACAUUUUCUGUGGGAUGGGGGCAUUCGGGUAACACCCCCAGGGGCUCGAACACCCCUCGGCCCCGGGAAUGCCCAGCCCUGGGAGCUGCAUGCAGGCACUCACAGCCCACCCCCAGCACCCCUGCAGCGCUCCCACAGCCGCCACCUCCCCCCAACACGGCUUUGGGGGCAGGGAGCACCCGCAGGCUCCUGCCUGGGCACGCCAGGCAUCAACACAUCCCAGGGGUUCUGCCACUUGGGAAUCCUGGCUUGUCCCAGCUGAGCUCCGGCCACCCUGCUGAUGCUGGCACGGGCACAGCCAUGUCCACGCAUCCAGGCUGGGCAGCCACCGUGUCACACAGCACGGGAGGAGUGGGAAGGAGGCGAGCCGGGCUGUGCCGGCGCUGCGGGGCAGGUGACACCGCCAAAAAGGAGGAGGACGAGGACGGGGGCGAUGCCAGGCAAGGCUGCGGUCACUGCGCAGCCAGGCCGUGGGUUGGCUGGCUGUGACAAGGCCGCUGUGACAUCGGCGCUGUGACAACGCGGCUCGUGUCCCGAGGGCAGAAAGCAUCUCCCUCGUUAGGCGCGCUCGCCGCUCCCGGGCCGCCUGCCCGCCGCCCGCAGCUGCUGCUCCUCCCCGCUGCGCCCGCCGCUGUCUCCCCGUAAUUAAAGAUCCAACGACCUUUGCCGACUGCCUGAGACGCUGGAACAAAUGAACGAGGCGCGCUCCUGAUUGAUCUGGAAGAAGCAGCUCAGUGCGAGGGAAGGAGUCUAUACACACCGAAACAGCUCUUUAAUUUCUUAAUUUAAUAUCUGACACGUAAAGAUUCUCAUUAAGCCAGUCAAUGAAGCCUGGAAAUACAAUUUUCGUGCAAACUGU